UCCUUCAAAAAAAUCCUGGAUCCAGACGGUGAUCCAGAUCACCUCCAAAAUCUAAUCGAUUGAUACUUUUGGCCUUCCGGAAAUUCUGUAAAAAUUUGGUGAAAAUCCGUCCACAACUUUUUGAGUUAUGCUGUUAACAGACAAACAGACAGACAAACAAACAGACAAACAGACUAGAAUGAUUACAUAACCUCCUGGCAGAGGUAAUUAAACAAUACCAAGCAUGACCAGGAGAAAUGAUUAUAGCAGGAAAAAUCUGCUUCACAUGACUGGAAAAAACUGUAAACUUGCCCUUUAAUGAGGCUGCAGCUAGCAAUUAUUCUACUUUUCUAAUCAAUUGUGGGUUAUUUGUUUGACUGAUUGCUUAUUCUAGCACACAUGUUGCCUUAAAAUGUCUGGUUUUAUUAGACCAACAGUCCAGAAGCACACGAUGUUCACUUCCUGUCACUGAAAUUGAAGAAACUCCCGUAUCAUUCACAUUCAAGAACCUGAAACCAGUUACAUUUUUUUCUGCAUUGCUCCCAACAAAGUCACUUAAGAAUGAAAAUAGCAGCUUAUGAAUGUUCGUUUGAAAAUGAUACUACCGUUCAAAAGUUUGAGGUCAACCAGGGAAUUUUAUGUUUUCCAUGAAAACUCACACUUUUACCAUGUAGCACAAGAAUAAAAGUUGCUCUAUAAUAGUUAAAGUUGCUCCAUAUUAUCGUUAAAGUUGCUGCAUAAUUAUUGUUAAAGUUGCUGCAUAUUAUCGUUAAAGUUGCUGCAUAUUAUCGUUAAAGUUGCUCCAUAUUAUCGUUAAAGUUGCUCCAUAUUAUCGUUAAAGUUGCUGCAUAUUAUCGUUAAAGUUGCUCCAUAUUAUCGUUAAAGUUGCCCCAUAUUAUCGUUAAAGUUGCCCCAUAUUAUCGUUAAAGUUGCUCCAUAUUAUCGUUAAAGUUGCUCCAUAUUAUCGUUAAAGUUGCCCCAUAUUAUCGUUAAAGUUGCUCCAUAUUAUCGUUAAAGUUGCUCCAUAUUAUUUUUAAGGUUGCUGCAUAUUAUCGUUAAAGUUGCUCCAUAUUAUCGUUAAAGUUGCCCCAUAUUAUCGUUAAAGUUGCUCCAUAUUAUCGUUAAAGUUGCUCCAUAUUAUUGUUAAAGUUGCUCCAUAUUAUCGUUAAAGUUGCUCCACAUUAUCGUUAAAGUUGCUCCAUAUUAUCGUUAAAGUUGCUCCAUAUUAUCGUUAAAGUUGCUCCAUAUUAUCGUUAAAGUUGCUGCAUAAUGAGUUGAAGUUGCCCCGUAGUAGUUAAAGUUGCCCUAAAAUACAUUAAAAUUGCUCUAUGUGAGUUGAAGUUGACCUACACUACCGUUCAAAAAGUUGGGGUCAUCCAGACGAUUGCAUGUUUUCCAUGAAAACUCCCACUUUUAUUCAUGUGCUAACAUAACUACACAAGGGUUUUCUAAUCAUCAAUGAGCCUUUCAACACCAUUAGCUAACACAAUGUAGCAUUAGAACACAGGAGUGAUGGUUGCUGGAAAUGUUCCUCUGUACCCCUAUGGACAUAUUCCAUUAAAAAUCCAGCUAGAAUAGUCAUUUACCACAUUAAUAAUGUCUAGACUGGAUUUAUCAUUCAUUUAAUGUUAUCUUAAGGGAAAAAAGCACAAAGCGUUCAAGUGGGGCUCCAGUUUAUCUACCAUUUAUGGCUUUCUGAUAAUCCAAAACAGUCCACAAAUACACAGAAAAGUCUUCAGAGAGGCUCAGACUGAUGCUACUGAAACAUCAGCCACAACAUCAGGAUUAGAAGGUGAAGUCCUGAUGCUCUGUCUCUGCUGCUCCAACAACCGUCUGCAUGUUCUCCAUAUAUUUAGACUGUAGGAUGUCGUGGCAGAGCGGUAACCACUGCUCUCUAAAAAUAGUCAUCUAUACCGUCUAAAUUACGCAAGACGACUCAGUCGGUCGACCAAAACCGCAGGAGGAAAUGUCUCAUCGCCUGACGAGG